GCCUAAGUGUCACUUCUGGUGGGCGGGCCGGAAGUAUUUUGAUUGCCCCAUGCCCAAGCCAAACCUCUUUCAUGUGAAGUCAAUAAAGUUUAUUUUGAUCCAAACCAGUCCUUUAUUUGUCUGCAGGUUGGGGACUGGAGAGCACAAUGCCUGGACCCGCAAGAGAGACUGAGAACUGGUGACUUGCAAAAGGUCACCUAGGAACUUCAAAUGAGCCAUGACAACAAUGUUCCUGACCUCCUCCUUUUUCUUUGGCGAUCGCUUAUAGCCAAGUAUGAUUAUCUUCCAUGAACACGGUUGCCCAGUGGUGCCCUGGGCCUGGCAGAGAGAGUGUUCCUGGAGCCCAGAGCCCAUCGGCUCCAGUCCCUGGCCAGGCUCUGACCUCACAACCAGCUGUGGAAUCCUGGGGAAGGUUUUGUUUCCUAGGAGGCAGGUGAGUUCUUUGAAAGGAUCCCUGGGUCAGUUGAAAGCCUGUUGGUUCAGUUAGGAGCCUGUAUAAAGCAGCAAUCCUUCUUUUCUGAAUUUGAAAGCUGUUCGACUGACUUUGUGGACCUUUCUGGGUUUGGAGAUCUUUUGCAUAAUGUGCCGCUGGUGGCGUAGAAGGUAAAGUCAAGGGAAAGAGGGGAGACAUCCUGAAGAUUCGUAUCCCCACCACAUGCCCAGUUUUUAAAGAUGCUCCUUGGUUAUUAAGACCUUUCUUAAAUCCCAUGCUGGAUGUUACAUGAGCCAGCAACUUUCCCAGGGAGUUUUCUGAUUUGUUGCUAUGGAGAGAUUUUCCUUCAAGAAUGCUUGAGACCACUGAAACAGAAACCCCACCCCACCAAAACAGAAACAGGGGAGAUGUUGAGGACUGUUGGCCUUCCAAUUAUUGCUGAAUCCCAUCCAAUCCCCUCCUGCAGGCUAGAGAAGGAUCUGUGGCCUGAGAUGGCUGCCCCCAGCUUCCCACCUCCAGCCAUGUGCAUUUCCAAUGGGCAUCCCUACGUUGACCAUGUGCACCGCAUCCACACUCAGUGUGAACUGGAGAGUGUGGCACGCAGAAAACACCAAGGGAAUCGGCCCCGGAACGGUCCCAGGUGGAAUCUGGACCGUCUGUUCCCGUAGAGUGACGAUGGUGACUCUCCCCAUGAGCUCAGCGGCGGCAGUAUUUAUGGAUACUGUCCAAAUCCCUUCCAGUCCCAGAGCCUCCCUGAACCCACCCGCAGGGACACCUGCUUUAGCUGCCUCUUUUCCGGACCCUGCUGGGAUUCAGCCUCAACCUAACGUCCUUCCCCUUCUGCCCUCUUUGCACAGAGCUGUUUAUGGUGGAGGCCUCCCACCUGAGCUCCCUGCACGUUCUUACUGUGCUGUUCUACCAGUGGCUAUAUAAAGAAAAACUCCUUUCUCAGGAGGAGCUGACCCUCGUCUUCCCUGAGUUAAGAGAACUGCUUAAGGUCCAUGGUUCUCCGUCGGGGAAAAUGAAGGAUCUACAGGAGAAAGGGCCCAUCACUGAGGAGAUUGGGGACCACCUGCUUUCCCAGGUAAGGAUCCCAGAGCAGGGCAGAGGCUGGCAGCAAUUGGCAGGGGGCUCCCUGUGGGUUUCCAGUGGACUUGGGCCCUUGAUUUCCUGAUGCUCACUGGACGUGUUUCCUCUCCCCUGCCCCCUCCCUCCCUCCCAGUUUGGUGUGGUUGCAAGUGAGGAGCUCCAGUAGGCCAUUACUAAAUAUGGCUUGCAGCAGGCCAGGGCCCUGGAGAUCCUUCAAGCGAAGCAGCAGUGGGAUGCUCGGUUCUGGCGUGUCAUCCAGGUAUGCUCCAUGAGAAGAGGAGGCUGAGCUCGGGGAAAGGGCCUUCUCAGCUGAAGGAUUACUCCCUGGGCGAAUGAAAGAGUGCAGGAGAACAAGCCAGAUGAUGGUGUAGGUUCGGUGAUAACCUCUAGUUGCAUGCUGCUCCCAUCUCCAGGUGGUUCAAGAUUCCAGGGGUUCUGGGGGCUUUCCCUAGGUUUGGCUUCUCGGAAUGAGGGGCAACCUCCUGUUCUCACAGCAGCCGCCCAGCUGCCCCAAAGGAGAAGCCCCUAAGCAAGCGGGAGCUGAGCAGCAAGGCUCCCCCCACUUGUUUUGCCGCUGACUCUCUCUGGUGCCCAGAAACAUGUCAUAAUAAUGAUAAUUAUGUUGUCUGUCUGCUUCCUUCUCUGCCUCUCCCAGGAAAUUGCGAGCUGCCCAUAAGUCCACCACCGUUCAGCUAAAGGAUUUCCUGGAGUGCGAGAUGCAGCGCCUAGCUAGCUACCCUCUGCUGCUGAAUAACAUCAUCCAGCACACUAAUGGUCUCUCUCUCUCUCUCUCUCUCCUUCUCCAUAUAUUUAUGUGUCGGGUGUGGUGGGGAGGGUGUCCCAGGAGAGCUGUAUGGCGUUUGCCUCCCAGGAUGGGUCAUAAGGAAAGGGUUAAAGUGGGUGUGAUAGAUAGAUAGUUUAUUACGGCCAUAGGCCCAUAUUCAAUACAUCAUACAGCAAAACAGGUAUAACAAGAUAAAAUUAAUAAAUUAAAUUACGUUUAAAUCAAAUACAUCUCAAACCGUAAGUUUCUAAAUUCCAUUAAAAUAAGAACAAUAUAGCGCUUAAAAUAUCAAAUUAUCAGUAUAAAUCAAUAUU